CCAAGAGCCGCCUAGAGCCGAAGUCCUGUUAGUCGCCUCUGACUGGGUACCAACCCCCUAUUACUCUGCAGGCGCGUGAAGGAGAAGGAAACUCGCUGGGACCGUGCAGGUCUCCGCUGGAGCCUAGACUUGAGAAGAAGCAACCCGCCUUGGUUGGAACCUUGCUGCAGGUUUGAAGGUGGGAUUCAUCCUGAUCCUAAAGUCUGACAUCGCUUUUCGAUUGUCCUUCUGCCAGACUCGGUCCACCUAUCUCCGUGGAGGGAAUACAGCAGAAGCCACCAGAAGAAAAAAGGAAUUCAAUUGGUUUUUGUAGAGAUUCAUGACAAGAAUCGCAGAAGCCUAGGAGAGGCUGAAGAUUACUAGCCUGACCUAUUAAUCCACACAUCCCCUGACCGUUCUCUUCAAUCAGGUGAAGAAAGGCCCUCUUCUUUCUGGCCACA
rnacentral:lncRNA from 1 species